UAGGCAUUAUUGAGUACUGACUGGAUGUGGAACUAAAUAGCCAAAGAAAGCGUCACUAUGAAAGCUGCUGCUAUAAUACUGUGAUCCGUUUUUUGAUAAUUAAAGGAAAGCUUCAAGAGGAGAAUGCAGAGGUCAUGCACACAUCAAUAUGCAUCUGCAACAAGCUAUGGUAACUGAGGUUCUCCCCAGCCAGGUGUACUUUCUGUUGUGGCUGUCAAGUUGCCAAAACCAAUUCCCAAGCAUUGCAGAAACAUUAUUUGACGACCUUCAGACGAACCCAUCAUAUGCAAGUACAAUGUAUACCUAGUUUUACCAAUCAUUAAAGAGGCAU